UUUUAGAGUUUGAUCCUGGCUCAGAUUGAACGCUGGCGGCAGGCCUAACACAUGCAAGUCGAGCGGUAACAGAGAGUAGCUUGCUACUUUGCUGACGAGCGGCGGACGGGUGAGUAAUGCUUGGGAACAUGCCUUGAGGUGGGGGACAACAGUUGGAAACGACUGCUAAUACCGCAUAAUGUCUACGGACCAAAGGGGGCUUCGGCUCUCGCCUUUAGAUUGGCCCAAGUGGGAUUAGCUAGUUGGUGAGGUAAUGGCUCACCAAGGCGACGAUCCCUAGCUGGUUUGAGAGGAUGAUCAGCCACACUGGGACUGAGACACGGCCCAGACUCCUACGGGAGGCAGCAGUGGGGAAUAUUGCACAAUGGGCGCAAGCCUGAUGCAGCCAUGCCGCGUGUGUGAAGAAGGCCUUCGGGUUGUAAAGCACUUUCAGUCAGGAGGAAAGGUUAGUAGUUAAUACCUGCUAGCUGUACGUACUGACAGAAGAGC
rnacentral:rRNA from 1 species